UACGUAGGGUGCGAGCGUUGUCCGGAAUUACUGGGCGUAAAGAGCUCGUAGGUGGUUUGUCGCGUUGUCCGUGAAAACUCACAACUCAAUUGUCGGGCGUGCGGGCGAUACGGGCAGACUGGAGUACUGCAGGGGAGACUGGAAUUCCUGGUGUAGCGGUGGAAUGCGCAGAUAUCAGGAGGAACACCGGUGGCGAAGGCGGGUCACUGGCCCGGUACUGACGCUGAGAUACGGAAGCGUGGGGAGCAAACAGG
rnacentral:rRNA from 1 species